rnacentral:lncRNA from 1 species
UGCAGAGCCUCCAUAACUGGUCAGAGGAACUGAACUCCCGGCCCCAAAAAACCCUAUACACAGCAAAGGAGAGGCAUAGAUGGGAGGUAACCUCUUCUUAGAAACAGCAAAAUGAUGUGCAAAAGAGACAGAGACAUCCUACAAAACUCUAUUUACUUUUCUCAUAUUUGAGGGGAAAAAAACCAUUCAGAAACCCUUCCCUGAAAAUUAAGGCCUGGACCCAAGUGGAGAUGGAAACCUUUGAUUCCAACUGACCCUACUGCUGUGUUCACAAGGACAGGACCACGUGAUUACUCCGGGAUCCCUGAACACACAGCCCUUGGCCUGAGGAAUGAUCCAAUUGUAGCUUCCCUGACCUGACCUCAAGAAAGAUGCAAUCCUCCUGUAUGACAUCAAAGCUUCGUUUGCUCCCACAGCUCUCACCCGCGACUUCCCUAA